rnacentral:rRNA from 1 species
AGAGUUUGAUCCUGGCUCAGAACGAACGGUAGCGGCGUGGAUUAGGCAUGCAAGUCGCACGAGACCCUAACUUCGGUUUGGUGAAAGUGGCGAAAGGGUGAGUAAUGCAUAGACGACCAACCCCCGACUCCGGGAUAACUGAGGGAAACCUCAGCUAAUACCGGAUAGGUUCGCAAUGUCGCAUGGUGAUGCGAGUAAAGGUGGCCUCUCAACGAUGCUACUGGUUGGGGACGGGUUUAUGUCCUAUCAGCUUGAUGGUGAGGUAACGGCUCACCAUGGCGAUGACGGGUAGCCGACCUGAGAGGGUGACCGGCCACACUGGGACUGAGACACUGCCCAGACUCCUACGGGGGGCUGCAGUCGAGAAUCUUCCGCAAUGGGGGAAACCCUGACGGAGCGACGCCGCGUGCGGGAUGAAGGCCUUCGGGUUGUAAACCGCUGUCACAGGUUAAGAAAGGGCCGGACGGUAACAUCGUACGGUCUUGACGAAGGCUUGUAAGGAAGCCACGGCUAACUUCGUGCCAGCAGCCGCGGUAAGACGAAGGUGGCAACCGUUGUUCGGAAUCACUGGGCAUAAAGAGCACGUAUGCGGGUAUGUAAGUCGGGUGUGAAAUCCCUCGGCCCAACCGAGGAACUGCGCCCGAAACUGCGUACCUUGAGGGCAGGAGGGGAGCGUGSAAUUCCUGGUGGAGGCGGUGAAAUGCGUUGAUAUCAGGAGGAACACCGGCGGCGAAGGCGACGCUCUGGCCUGCUUCUGACGCUGAGGUGCGAAAGCCAGGGGAGCAAACGGGAUUAGAUACCCCGGUAGUCCUGGCCCGUAAACGAUGGGUACUAGGUAGGGGGGACCCAAUGCCUCCCUGCUGGAGAUAAUUUAUUAAGUACCCCGCCUGGGGAGUACAGUCGCAAGGCUGAAACUCAAAGGAAUUGACGGGGGCUCACACAAGCGGUGGAGCAUGUUGUUUAAUUCGAAGCAACGCGCAGAACCUUACCUGGGCUUGACAUGCUAGUGGUACGAACCUGAAAGGGGGAGGACCCUCUUGCGAGGGAGCUAGCACAGGUGUUGCAUGGCUGUCGUCAGCUCGUGUCGUGAGAUGUCGGGUUAAGUCCCAUAACGAGCGAAACCCUUGUCAUUAGUUGCCAGCGAGUAAAGUCGGGGACUCUAGUGAGACUGCCGGUGUUAAACCGGAGGAAGGUGGGGAUGACGUCAAGUCCUCAUGGCCCUUACGCCCAGGGCUACAAACGUGCCACAAUGGCUGGUACAGAGGGACGCGAAACCGUGAGGUCAAGCAAAUCCCAAAAAGCCAGUCUCAGUUCGGAUUGAGGGCUGCAACUCGCCCUCAUGAAGUUGGAAUCGCUAGUAAUCGGAGAUCAGCUACGCUCCGGUGAAUAUGUUCCUGAGCCUUGUACACACCGCCCGUCAAGCCACGAGAGCCGGGAGUGCCCGAAGCCGCUAACCCAACCAUCUUGGAGGGAGGCGUCGACGGCAAGCUCGGUGAUUGGGACUAAGUCGUAACAAGGUAGCCGUAGGAGAGCCUGCGGCUGUUCACCUCCUUA